CUCGCUAGUGCGGCUUGUCCCAUCGGGAAAUAAAGCACCAGAGCGGCAAAGCCCAACUGAAGUAACAAAGCGCGAGACACU
rnacentral:tRNA from 1 species